CAAGAGCUCCCAUUGUGGAUAUUGCGUGAUGAAAUUUAUGAAGGAGAUAAUUCUGCACAAUGCUGACUCAAUUCCCACGCAGUACUUUGCCGACACAUAUUGCACAGUGUAUUCAUCUGCUCAGAUGGAAGAAAUCGUUGAGGAGUUGGCGAUGGCCUUAUUCCGUCAGUGGGCACAACAUAGAUAGGGAAGUGUACAUUAAGACAGUGUAUGUACGUACAGCUAGCUUUGGUUUCAAUAUAAUUUUGGUUUUGGUUCAUUUUUGGCUGUUGGUUAGUUUUAGGCAUUACACAACUUUGGCAAUUGGCUAAUUUUGGAAUUGGUU